CCUACGGGUGACAGCAGUGAGGAAUAUUGGUCAAUGGGCGCGAGCCUGAACCAGCCAAGUAGCGUGAAGGAAGACUGCCCUACGGGUUGUAAACUUCUUUUAUAAAGGAAUAAAGUGAGGCACGUGUGCCUUUUUGAAUGUACGUUAUGAAUAAGGAUCGGCUAACUACGUGCCAGCAGCCGCGGUAAUACGGAGGAUCCGAGCGUUAUCCGGAUUUGUUGGGUUUAAAGGGAGCGUAGAUGGGUUGUUAAGUCAGUUGUGAAAGUUUGCGGCUCAACCGUAAAAUUGCAAUUGAUACUGGCAGUCUUGAGUGCAGAUGAGGUAGGCGGAAUUCGUGGUGUAGCGGUGAAAUGCGUAGAUAUAACGAAGAACUCCGAUGGCGAAGGCAGCUUACUGGACUGCCACUGACGUUGAUGCUCGAAAGUGUGGGUAUCGAACAGGAUUAGAUACCCUUGUAGUC
rnacentral:rRNA from 1 species